rnacentral:rRNA from 1 species
CCUCACCCUCGUAAGACUACCCGCUGAACUUAAGCAUAUCAAUAAGCGGAGGAAAAGAAACCAACAGGGAUUGCCUCAGUAACGGCGAGUGAAGCGGCAAAAGCUCAAAUUUGAAAUCCCCCGGGAAUUGUAAUUUGAAGAGAUUUGGGUCCGGCCGGCAGGGGUUAAGUCCACUGGAAAGUGGCGCCACAGAGGGUGACAGCCCCGUGAACCCCUUUAACGCCUUCAUCCCAGAUCUCCAAGAGUCGAGUUGUUUGGGAAUGCAGCUCUAAGUGGGUGGUAAAUUCCAUCUAAAGCUAAAUACCGGCGAGAGACCGAUAGCGAACAAGUACAGUGAUGGAAAGAUGAAAAGCACUUUGAAAAGAGAGUGAAAAAGUACGUGAAAUUGUUGAAAGGGAAGGGCUUGCAAGCAGACACUUAACUGGGCCAGCAUCGGGGCGGCGGGGAGCAAAACCACUGGGGAAUGUACCUUUCGAGGAUUAUAACCCCGGUCCUUACUCCCUCACCAUCCCGAGGCCUGCAAUCUAAGGAUGCUGGCGUAAUGGUUGCAAGUCGCCCGUCUUGAAACACGGACCAAGGAGUCUAACAAUCAUGCAAGUGUUUGGGCCCAAAACCCAUACGCGCAAUGAAAGUAACCGGAGCGAACCUUCUGGUGCAGCUCCAGCCACACCGAGACCCAAAUCCCGGUGUGAGCAAGCAUGGCUGUUGGGACCCGAAAGAUGGUGAACUAUACCUGGAUAGGGUGAAGCCAGAGGAAACUCUGGUGGAGGCUCGUAGCGGUUCUGACGUGCAAAUCGAUCGUCGAAUCUGGGUAUAGGGGCGAAAGACUAAUCGAACCAUCUAGUAGCUGGUUCCUGCCGAAGUUU